AAUCAGCCCCCUAUGUUUUGAUUCUUUGGCAGUUUUGGACCCCCAAGACAAAAAAAAUUAAAAAAAAUGACACGUGGCACCUCACUUAGGGUGCCACGUCAGCGUUGACCGAGUCAACAAUGGACUGGGGGUCCAAAACUGUCAAAUAAUCAAAACAUAGGGGGCUGUUU
rfam:Medicago truncatula strain A17 chromosome 7, whole genome shotgun sequence.